rnacentral:rRNA from 1 species
UACGAAGGGGGCUAGCGUUGCUCGGAAUCACUGGGCGUAAAGGGUGCGUAGGCGGGUCUUUUAAGUCAGGGGUGAAAUCCUGGAGCUCAACUCCAGAACUGCCUUUGAUACUGAGGAUCUUGAGUUCGGGAGAGGUGAGUGGAACUGCGAGUGUAGAGGUGAAAUUCGUAGAUAUCGGGAGGAACACCGGUGGCGAAGGCGGCGAUCUGGGUCGAUACUGACGCUGAGGUGCGAAAGCGUGGGGAGCAAACAGG